UUUCUUUCGGAGAAUCCUUGUUAACUCACUGCGUUUACUCAGAAAGUAAGACCCUUUUUCUCUCUCCUCUUCAUUUUGUCGUUGUUUUCUGUUUCUUUGAUUGGAUUUUUUCUUCCUUUUGGCUUUUACUUUUAAUUAGGU